UACGAAGGGGGCUAGCGUUGUUCGGAAUUACUGGGCGUAAAGCGCACGUAGGCGGAUCGAUCAGUCAGGGGUGAAAUCCCGGGGCUCAACCCCGGAACUGCCUUUGAUACUGGGUAUCUCGAGUCCGGAAGAGGUGAGUGGAAUUCCGAGUGUAGAGGUGAAAUUCGUAGAUAUUCGGAGGAACACCAGUGGCGAAGGCGGCUCACUGGUCCGGUACUGACGCUGAGGUGCGAAAGCGUGGGGAGCAAACAGG
rnacentral:rRNA from 1 species